AAUGAACGCUGGCGGCAUGCCUUACACAUGCAAGUCGAACGGCAGCAUGACCUAGCUUGCUAGGUUGAUGGCGAGUGGCGAACGGGUGAGUAAUGCAUCGGAACGUGCCUUUUAGUGGGGGAUAACGUAGCGAAAGUUACGCUAAUACCGCAUAUUCUCUGAGGAGGAAAGCAGGGGACCUUCGGGCCUUGCGCUAGAAGAGCGGCCGAUGUCGGAUUAGCUAGUUGGUGUGGUAAAGGCUCACCAAGGCAACGAUCCGUAGCGGGUCUGAGAGGAUGAUCCGCCACACUGGGACUGAGACACGGCCCAGACUCCUACGGGAGGCAGCAGUGGGGAAUUUUGGACAAUGGGCGCAAGCCUGAUCCAGCCAUGCCGCGUGAGUGAAGAAGGCCUUCGGGUUGUAAAGCUCUUUCGGCUGGGAAGAAAUCGCACCCUCUAAUACAGGGUGUGGAUGACGGUACCAGCAUAAGAAGCACCGGCUAACUACGUG
rnacentral:rRNA from 1 species